GAUCGACUGGCCCAGUGGUUAAGGCGCUCGUCUUACAUACAUACAUAUGUAUCACGAGAGAUCCCAGGUUCGAUCCCUGGGUCGAUCA